rnacentral:snRNA from 1 species
AUCGCUUCUCGGCCUUUUGGCUAAGAUCAAGUGUGAAAACACCUAGUGUUAGGUUUUUAAAAAUGUCUCUGGUGGUAGAGUGGCAGGUACAAAAUGAAUUUAGUUUUGUGGGUAUUGCAAUUUGGAGCUUAUUGUUUUAUCUGCUACUGCUGCACUACUUAGAUUGAGGAUACCCUUU